GCUAUUCUUAAUUAUUUAAUCCUUAUGACCUCAACCAAUCAACUUAUUGUAAAAGAGACUGUAUCAAAGAGGCUAUUUGUAAAUCUGAAGCUUUAUCUAGCUGACCAAUUAUCACCACUGAGUUUCUUAAAGGUGGGGCUCUAUCAACAUGUGCAGCUGAUGACACACACUGUGGCUCAAGUAUAUAGCGUAAGGGCUAUAAAGUUAACAGAAGAAAUUACAGCAUGAAGGCUUAUGUUGCUUGUGGAGUACAUCCAUGUGAAAAAUAUAAGUGGGGAAAUAAUCUGUUGAAACAGAUACACUAGAAAAGGAAGAUCAAUGGAAUUUGAGGAUUAAUUCAAUCUCUGAAAUUUUUUUACCCUUCAAGUUUUCACUAAUUGAUCUUACAAGCAGGAUCACAAAAAA